UAGGGAAUCUUCGGCAAUGGGGGGAACCCUGACCGAGCAACGCCGCGUGAGUGAAGAAGGUUUUCGGAUCGUAAAGCUCUGUUGUUAAGGAAGAACGAGUGUGAGAAUGGAAAGUUCAUGCUGUGACGGUACUUAACCAGAAAGGGACGGCUAACUACGUGCCAGCAGCCGCGGUAAUAUGUAGGUCCCGAGCGUUGUCCGGAUUUAUUGGGCGUAAAGCGAGCGCAGGCGGUUAGAGAAGUCUGAAGUGAAAGGCAGUGGCUCAACCAUUGGAAGCUUUGGGAACUGUUUAACAUAAGUGCGGGAGGGGAGGGUGGAAUUCCGUGUGUAGCGGUGAGAUGCGUAGAUAUAUAGAGGAACACCAAUGGCGAAAGCGGCUCUCUGGUCUGUAACUGACGCUGAGGCUCGAAAGCGUAGGGAGCGAACAGG
rnacentral:rRNA from 1 species